AGAGUUUGAUCCUGGCUCAGAACGAAACGCCUGGCGGCAGGCCUUAACACAAUGCCAAGUUCGAGCGCAUCCUUUCGGGGGUGAAGCGGCAAGACGGGUGAGUAACGCGUGGGAAAUGUUACCCUUUGCUACGGAAUUAGCUCCGGGAAACUGGAAUUAAUACCGUAUGUGCCCUUCGGGGGAAAGAUUUAUCGGCAAAGGAUCAGCCCGCGUUGGAUUAGCUAGUUGGUGGGGUAAUGGCCUACCAAGGCGACGAUCCAUAGCUGGUCUGAGAGGAUGAUCAGCCACAUUGGGACUGAGACACGGCCCAAACUCCUACGGGAGGCAGCAGUGGGGAAUAUUGGACAAUGGGCGCAAGCCUGAUCCAGCCAUGCCGCGUGAGUGAUGAAGGCCUUAGGGUUGUAAAGCUCUUUCAACGGUGAAGAUAAUGACGGUAGCCGUAGAAGAAGCCCCGGCUAACUUCGUGCCAGCAGCCGCGGUAAUACGAAGGGGGCUAGCGUUGUUCGGAAUUACUGGGCGUAAAGCGCACGUAGGCGGAUAUUUAAGUCAGGGGUGAAAUCCCAGAGCUCAACUCUGGAACUGCCUCUGAUACUGGGUAUCUUGAGUAUGGAAGAGGUGAGUGGAAUUCCGAGUGUAGAGGUGAAAUUCGUAGAUAUUCGGAGGAACACCAGUGGCGAAGGCGGCUCACUGGUCCAUUACUGACGCUGAGGUGCGAAAUGCGUGGGGAGCAAACAGGAGUUAGAUACCCUGGUAGUCCACGCCGUAAACGAUGAUUAUGGCCGUCGGGCAGUCUACUGUUCGGUGGCGCAGCUAACGCAUUAA
rnacentral:rRNA from 1 species